AAACGACUCUCGGCAACGGAUAUCUAGGCUCUUGCAUCGAUGAAGAACGUAGCGAAAUGCGAUACUUGGUGUGAAUUGCAGAAUCCCGUGAACCAUCGAGUCUUUGAACGCAAGUUGCGCCCGAAGCCUUCUGGCCGAGGGCACGUCUGCCUGGGU
rnacentral:rRNA from 1 species